GGGGGUGUAGCUCAGUUGGUUAGAGCGCUGGCCUGUCACGCUAGAGGUCGCGAGUUCGAGUCUCGUCACUCCCG
rnacentral:tRNA from 1 species